rnacentral:rRNA from 1 species
AUGUGGCCCAUUGACGCACAACGAAUUCUUUUAAUCCCACUUUCACAACAUGAUAUGACAAAUUUCAUUGCCUGGAGUUAUACGAAAAAUGGUAUGUUCUCGGUUCGGUCUGCUUACUCUGCGGAGUGGAAUUAUCAGUAUGGGAAUAAACUAAAAUAUUCUAAUGGAAUGGUGCGAAUCACACCUAAUCCUAUAUGGUGUCAAAUAUGGAAGUUAUCUUGUCGGGCAAAAGUAAAAAAAAUCAUAUGGCGUAGAUUACAUGGCACUCUCCCAUGCCGGGUAACACUUGCUAACAGACACAUGAAGGUCUCUCCCUCUUGUCCUAAUUGCUCUCAAGGUUUAGAAGAUACGAAACACAUGUUUUUCCUUUGUAGUAAAGCAAAGGAGGUUUGGAAGAAACUAGGGAUGGAUGAGAUUAUUGAUAAAGCUUGUGAGGUUGAUCGUGCUGGGGCGAUAUUGGAAUACCUUCUACUUCUUCCCGACCAAGAAUUAUGUAUUAUGGGGUACCAAAAUGUAUGGGAAAUGAUAGCUAUUUCAGCUUGGUACCUAUGGUGGGAAAGCCGGAAAUUAGUGCACAAGGAAUUAACUCAGAAUGCAAAUCAAAUAUCAAUGGCGAUCAUAGCCCUCACAUCCAACUUUGUAAAUGCAUCAUCUCCAAAGGGUCCAUGA